AGCAGCCGCGGUAAUUCCAGCUCCAAUAGCGUAUAUUAAAGUUGCUGCAGUUAAAAAGCUCGUAGUUGAAUUUCGGGACUAAUAUGUUGGUCGUGCCUCGGUACGUACUGAUAUUUUUGGUUUCUCCCUUCUGACGAACCUUGAUGUCAUUAAUUUGGUGUCUUGGGAAAUCAGGACUGUUACUUUGAAAAAAUUAGAGUGUUUAAAGCAGGCUCACGCUUGAAUACAUUAGCAUGGAAUAAUGAAAUAGGACGUUUGAUUCUAUUUUGUUGGUUUCUAGGAUUGACGUAAUGAUUAAUAGGGAUAGUUGGGGGCAUUAGUAUUCAAUUGUCAGAGGUGAAAUUCUUGGAUUUAUUGAAGACUAACUACUGCGAAAGCAUUUGCCAAGGAUGUUUUCAUUAAUCAAGAACGAAAGUUAGGGGAUCGAAGACGAUCAGAUACCGUCGUAGUCUUAACCAUAAACUAUGCCGACUAGGGAUCGGAUGAUGUUAAUUUUUAAUGACUCAUUCGGCGCCUUACG
rnacentral:rRNA from 1 species